CUGAAUGGCGGCUGAGUGUGAGGUUUGCAUAAAAUUAUUGCUAGAGAAACAAAUUUUGCUGAGAUAUAAAAAGAGGUACAUAUUGAGUUAAUAUUAUCGGAUACAAUCUAGAGAUAGCAAAUAAAAAAUAACUUGGUCAAUAAAAUUUCCCACGGUACAGUCGAAGAUUAAAGUGAAAAAUCGUCAUAUUUAUAUGGAAAAUGUUAUAACUUAUGAAAAAGACAGGAGAAAGUGAGAAGAGGUGGGGGUUUGUUAAGAUGCGCACGAUUCAAAGCGCAAUUGCAGAUCAUCAUUCUUCAUUACUUUUGAAAGCAUUGCCAGUGAGUCGUCCAUAAAGAUCUUCAGAUCAAAUUGAAGACAGAGUAGUUAAUCCAUAUGUGAAUGAAACUCGAGGAUUAGUUAUCCCAACUGAUGAUGAUGAGAGAAAAUCAUCAAUCAGCAGAGACUCCGAAGACCUCUAAACUACCAAAGAAAUCUCAUCAAUGCAAUAAAUAUGUCCAGAGUAAGAAACUGAACAUAUUUAUUGCAUUGAUGCUAGAAAUAAUUAUUCCAAAUUACUAAUACCAGGCAGUUUUUUCAGUUACUUCGUUACUCGAUGCUUUUCUCGUUUGUAUUAUCUCUAUUCAUGCUUAAGCCAUAUUAAAAACAAGUUUUAUUGAAAAAAAUAUUACAGCAACCAGUAACU